CUCUCUCUCUCUCUCUCUCUCUCUCUCUCUCUCUCUCUCUCUCUCUCUCCAGGAUAUUGUCCAUGCUACACUCACCUAAAAUACCAGUUCAAUCACAUUCCAAAAAACCAUAAAACUUGUGGAAUAAUACGUAUUGUGAUUGGCUUUUGUCAACCACCUCAUCUGUAGAAUCCGUCCGUAGGUGUAUAGUUUUUUACCCUACCUAGUUUGACUCUUUCAGAAUCUUCCUCUUUUGCACAGUGCUUUUAAAGGUAUACUGCAAUCUUAGUAAAAAAAAAUAGCCAAGUACCAAUUAACUCUUGCAUUUUCCCACCUGCUAAAUUGAAUUGAGGAUCUUUUAACUGCCCAUUACAGGUUGAACAUCACUUCAUUGGAUCUGAAUUCAUGAACCCAUCAAGAGAAAAGUUGAAGAACGUAGAAGAAAUGUCAGGACAAAGCACGUUUUCUCUCUCACACAUUCACCAUACGUGUUUUAGUUGGAGAGAGAGAGAGAGAGAGCAGGUAAGGAUCUGUUGCAAUUCUGACAUGUUUCGCUUUUCAUAUUAGUUAUUAAUAGUUUCUGCGAGUGAUUUUUUUUCCCAGACUUGUCAAGUUGGAAUGGUUGUUGGGUUGAAUCGCGCCGGAUGCUCUCAGCACGUAUGUUUUCUUGCUCCAGAUUCAGUGCAUCUCUGCAGAGGCCAUAGAUAUACAUUUUCAAGAAGCUUCCAUCUCUUGGCCGUAAACAAGAAGCUUUCAAUACUUAAAUGGGUUCAAAUGGUUUUCAUCACACCAUGAAGCUUGCAAAUAUUUCUAGUUUAAUGCAAUUGAGAUGUUUUCCAGUCCACAUUUAUAUAUGCAGCCUAGAGAAUUAUGAGAUGAAAAGAUGGCUUUUGGUUCUCCAACUUCUCUAUAGUGAACAGAUUUGAGACCGUUGUGACCAGCAUUUGCGAAAAUCUCAUUGUGCAUACAUGCUGUGUCAAUAUAGUUCCAUCUCCCGCACAUAUAUAGCUCAGAAUAGUAAUUAGUUUUGUGGCAAGUAUUCAUUUCCUAGUUGUGACUAUGAUUAUCGUUAGUAUGUAUGAUACUACAUGUACUCUUGACUUUCGACAGCAUUUUAGUAGAAGUGGGUGGAUGGGCUCUUUGAAUAA